GCCGGGAUGGCGGAACGGUAGACGCGGCGGACUCAAAAUUCGCUGGGCGAAAGCCCGUGGGGGUUCGACUCCCCCUCCCGGUA
rnacentral:tRNA from 1 species